rnacentral:rRNA from 1 species
CCUACGGGAGGCAGCAGUAGGGAAUUGUUCGCAAUGGGCGAAAGCCUGACGACGCAACGCCGCGUGGAGGAUGAAGACUUUCGGGUCGUAAACUCCUUUCGACCGAGAUGAACAUUCGCCGGCCUAACAUGCCGGCGAACUGACAGUAUCGAGGGAAGCAGCCCCGGCUAACUCCGUGCCAGCAGCCGCGGUAAUACGGGGGGGGCAAGCGUUGUUCGGAAUUACUGGGCGUAAAGGGUUCGUAGGUGGCCCUCUAAGUCAGACGUGAAAUCCCUCAGCUCAACUGGGGAACUGCGUCUGAGACUGGAGGGCUUGAGUGCAGGAGAGGAACGCGGAAUUCCAGGUGUAGCGGUGAAAUGCGUAGAUAUCUGGAGGAACACCGGUGGCGAAGGCGGCGUUCUGGACUGUUACUGACACUGAGGAACGAAAGCCAGGGGAGCAAACGGGAUUAGAUACCCGGGUAGUC